rnacentral:tRNA from 1 species
GCCCUUGUAGCUUAACUAAAGCAUUGGCCUUGUAAGCCAAAGAAUGGAAGCUUAUCCCUUCCCUAUGGCA